CCUACGGGUGGCAGCAGUGGGGAAUAUUGGGCAAUGGGCGCAAGCCUGAACCAGCAACGCCGCGUGAAGGAAGAAGGCUUUCGGGUUGUAAACUUCUUUUAAGAGGGAAGAGCAGAAGACGGUACCUCUUGAAUAAGCCACGGCUAACUACGUGCCAGCAGCCGAGGUAAUACGGAGGUCGCAAGCGUUAUCCGGAUUUACUGGGUGUAAAGGGAGUGCAGCCGGGAAGACAAGUCAGAUGUGAAAGCCCGCGGCGCAACCGCGGAACUGCAUUUGAAACUGUCUGUCUUGAGUACCGGAGAGGUAGGCGGAAUUCCUUGUGUAGUGGUGAAAUGCGUAGAUAUAAGGAAGAACACCAGUGGCGAAGGCGGAUGACUGGACGGCAACUGACGGUGAGGCGCGAAAGCGUGGGGAGCAAACAGGAUUAGAUACCCUAGUAGUC
rnacentral:rRNA from 1 species